GACGAACGCUGGCGGCGUGCUUAACACAUGCAAGUCGAACGGAAAGGCCCUGCUUGCAGGGUACUCGAGUGGCGAACGGGUGAGUAACACGUGGGUGAUCUGCCCUGCACUUCGGGAUAAGCUUGGGAAACUGGGUCUAAUACCGGAUAGGAACCAUCUUUAGUGUGGUGGUUGGAAAGUUUUUUCGGUGUAGGAUGAGCUCGCGGCCUAUCAGCUUGUUGGUGGGGUAAUGGCCUACCAAGGCGGCGACGGGUAGCCGGCCUGAGAGGGUGUACGGCCACAUUGGGACUGAGAUACGGCCCAGACUCCUACGGGAGGCAGCAGUGGGGAAUAUUGCACAAUGGGCGCAAGCCUGAUGCAGCGACGCCGCGUGGGGGAUGAAGGCCUUCGGGUUGUAAACUCCUUUCGCUAGGGACGAAGCUUUUUGUGACGGUACCUAGAGAAGAAGCACCGGCUAACUACGUG
rnacentral:rRNA from 1 species